UACGUAGGGACCAAGCGUUGUUCGGAUUUACUGGGCGUAAAGGGCGCGUAGGCGGUGCGGUAAGUCACUUGUGAAAUCUCCGAGCUUAACUCGGAACGGCCAAGUGAUACUGCAGUACUAGAGUGCGGAAGGGGCAAUCGGAAUUCUUGGUGUAGCGGUGAAAUGCGUAGAUAUCAAGAGGAACACCUGAGGUGAAGACGGGUUGCUGGGCCGACACUGACGCUGAUGCGCGAAAGCCAGGGGAGCAAACGGG
rnacentral:rRNA from 1 species